rnacentral:rRNA from 1 species
GAUCCUGGCUCAGAUUGAACGCUGGCGGCAUGCUUUACACAUGCAAGUCGAACGGUAACAGGGAGCUUGCUCCGCUGACGAGUGGCGAACGGGUGAGUAAUAUAUCGGAACGUACCCAGAAGUGGGGGAUAACGUAGCGAAAGUUACGCUAAUACCGCAUACGAUCCACGGAUGAAAGUAGGGGACCUUCGGGCCUUAUGCUUUUGGAGCGGCCGAUAUCUGAUUAGCUAGUUGGUGAGGUAAAGGCU